AGGCAGGGAUGGUGUGUGUGUGUGUGUGAGCGAGUGAGAGAAAUGAGGUGUUUCCCCCACCUGAGCCUGAAGAAGUGAAGGUGACUCAGAAGAGGCCAAUCAAGAUUAUUAACCACACUCUGGGGGGAGUCUGGCUUGACUGAUAAGCAUUAAUUGGGGAUGAAGCCCUGCUAGGCAGGAGCAGGCUGGGCUUGUAUACGGCCAGGAAGUUGAGAACAGAAGGGAGUGAGUCUGGAGUUAUUCUCUGGGUACAGAGAGGUGGGUUGGCAGGCAGAAACUUGGGGGAGUAAGAGCCCUGUGAGAAGGGUUUACCCCAAGAAGUUGUGGGGAAGAAAGCAUGUGGAAGGCAGAGUAGGAAGAAGCCCAGGGAAAGAGCUGGGGUUGAGAAUCUGUAGACCUUGGCUGCUGAUUAUAGGAUCCCUGGGCUGGAAAGGGGAACCCAGGCCUGCACACAUAUCAGCCACUGGGUAAGUGGCCUGGACUUAGAAUUGGUAUGGAGGGCUAUCUGAGAUGGUGUCAGACAGUUUGUCUGGAGAGGCUUUCAUACCCUGGAAGGGGAAAACUAUAGGGUGACCUGUCUGAGUCUUGCAGAGAGAGAUUAUGGCACAAGCAAAUGAUGGAAAGGGGUGCCAGAAUGGAUGAGAUCUGAUCUUCAGACCCUGCUACAAGAAAGUGCCCCAGUGAAUAAUCACAGAAGUCACUAACUACAAUGCUGAGAAAACAGAUUCUUGUUUGUGGAUGAAAGAAAGAAUUCAAAGGACCCUACAGAUGUCCGACAUUUUGAAGGAAAGGCAAUUCGUUCAGUCCAGGUUUGCCAGGGAUUCUCUGCAUUCCUUCACGGUGGUCCCCAGCAUGGCUGGUCACCAGCAAAAAGGCUAUUGCUGUGACUACGUGAAACAAUUGGGGCAACAUUGUUCGAGGCCAG